GCCAGAGUAGCUCAGUUGGUAGAGCAAUGCAUUCGUAAUGCAUAGGUCAGGGGUUCGAGUCCCCUCUCUGGCCCCA
rnacentral:tRNA from 1 species